rnacentral:rRNA from 1 species
GACGAACGCUGGCGGCGUGCUGAACACAUGCGAGUCGAACGGCGAAGCUCCAGCUUGCUGGAGUGGAUCAGUGGCGAACGGGUGAGUAACACGUGAGCAACCUGCCCCGGACUCUGGAAUAAGCGCUGGAAACGGCGGCUAAUACUGGAUACGAGAAGGGUCCGCAUGGGCACUUUCUGGAAAGUUCUACGGCUGGGGAUGGGCUCGAGGCCGUUCAGCUUGUUGGUGAGGUAAUGGCUAACCAAGGCGACGACGGGUAGCCGGCCUGAGAGGGCGACCGGCGACACUGCGACUGAGAGCAGGCGCAGACCCCUACGGGAGGAAGGCGUGGGGAAUCCUGCAGCAUGGGCGGAAGUCUGAGGUAGCGACGCCGCGUGGGGGAUGAUGGCAGUCGCGUUGUAACCCGCUUUGCGCAGGGAAGAAGCGCACGUGACGGUACCUGAAGAAGAAGCGCCGGCUACCUACGUG